UGGGGAAUUUUGGACAAUGGGCGAAAGCCUGAUCCAGCAAUGCCGCGUGUGUGAAGAAGGCCUUCGGGUUGUAAAGCACUUUUGUCCGGAAAGAAAUCCUUGGCUCUAAUACAGUCGGGGGAUGACGGUACCGGAAGAAUAAGCACCGGCUAACUACGUGCCAGCAGCCGCGGUAAUACGUAGGGUGCAAGCGUUAAUCGGAAUUACUGGGCGUAAAGCGUGCGCAGGCGGUUUGCUAAGACCGAUGUGAAAUCCCCGGGCUCAACCUGGGAACUGCAUUGGUGACUGGCAGGCUAGAGUAUGGCAGAGGGGGGUAGAAUUCCACGUGUAGCAGUGAAAUGCGUAGAGAUGUGGAGGAAUACCGAUGGCGAAGGCAGCCCCCUGGGCCAAUACUGACGCUCAUGCACGAAAGCGUGGGGGAGCAAACAGGAUUAGAUACCCUGGUAGUCCACGCCCUAAACGAUGUCAACUAGUUGUUGGGGAUUCAUUUCCUUAGUAACGUAGCUAACGCGUGAAGUUGACCGCCUGGGGAGUACGGUCGCAAGAUUAAAACUCAAAGGAAUUGACGGGGUCC
rnacentral:rRNA from 1 species